rnacentral:piRNA from 1 species
AUGAGGCAGGUGAUCUUUGUGUAA